rnacentral:misc_RNA from 1 species
ACAUGGAGGUGGUGGAAGCUUUACUAGGUCUCCUUCACUAGGAAAUCGUUGGUUGACGACCUUGGAGACCCCAGGUUUCUUCUCCCAUGAGAAGGGUACACUUCCUUUUGCGUAAGCCUUAAUUUGAUUCAUAUUGGAACAAAUCUUUAUGUAUAGGAACUUGAGAGAAGGAACUUGAGGGAAAAGGGGUUGGCUAUUUAUGCCUUAUAUAAGAAGGAACCAUGAAGGAAGAUAAUGGCAGAAACUGCUAGGUCAAG